rnacentral:lncRNA from 1 species
CACUUAAAUACAUUAUGAAUUUUUCUGCCAUGCCUAUGGGUCUGAAAACCCUCCAGAAGACCAUGCAGCAAGCAGUUCUGUGGGGACAGAAACAGGAUGGGUCAUCAGAGGAAAGUCAGAGCCUGGAAACUUCCUAAGUAUCAUCCUACAACAAUCUGCCAAUCUCUCAUUCCAAUGCCACCUCCAUCUGGUAAGGGUUGGCUCUGGGGGUGCUGGAUUCCCAGACACUCCCUGCUCUCCUUGCACUAAGGCAAAACCAUC